CCUACGGUGGACUUCAGUGAGGAAUAUUGGUCAAUGGACGAGAGUCUGAACCAGCCAAGUAGCGUGAAGGAUGACUGCCCUAUGGGUUGUAAACUUCUUUUAUAAAGGAAUAAAACGAGGCACGUGUGCCUUUUUGCAUGUACUUUAUGAAUAAGGAUCGGCUAACUCCGUGCCAGCAGCCGCGGUAAUACGUAGGAUCCGAGCGUUAUCCGGAUUUAUUGGGUUUAAAGGGAGCGUAGAUGGGUUGUUAAGUCAGUUGUGAAAGUUUGCGGCUCAACCGUAAAAUUGCAAUUGAUACUGGCAGUCUUGAGUACAGUUGAGGUAGGCGGAAUUCGUGGUGUAGCGGUGAAAUGCUUAGAUAUCACGAAGAACCCCGAUUGCGAAGGCAGCUUACUAAACUGUGACUGACAUUGAUGCUCGAAAGUGUGGGUAUCAAACAGGAUUAGAUACCCCAGUAGUC
rnacentral:rRNA from 1 species